CUUACGGUGCUCACAACAGUCGCCGCAGCGAUCAUGGCAACUUCUUGCAAUUACGGUCGUACCAACCGUACUGGCAAGGUUACAGGGCCUAAAUUUAUACAGGUUUCGUCAUGAGGGCUACCCAGUGAAUAAUCUGUGUAGUGUGAUACGGCUGGGUGUACAGGUUACUUCACAGCUGCCUCGACAUACUCAAGAAAUGGGUGCAGAACCUGCGUAAUGCCCACAAACUUUGAUUACCACAGCACCUCCAGAAAGUAUGUGUCACAUGGGAUUUUUAAAUGUAUUCACAGUAUAUAAUACCUUGUAUUAACUGUUGUAGAUCUAAGCCGUCUCUACAGUACACUCUCAGAAAUUAAAACCGUGAGAACCGUGAUAAUUGUUUCAGUUAAUAGGCAUGCACAUAUAUGCUAUAAGAAGAAAAUUAUUUCUUGAGAAUGCACUUCUCUGGCUACCGGUGUUGUUUACAUCUACUGUUGAUCACAUUCAUUUAUCACGUAUUAUAUUCUUAUAUAUACUAUUAUAUUAACACAUAUUUGAUCACAUUAAAUUCAAAAUUCAUCAUAUAUAAGAAAAUACCAGGAGGGAAGUUGCUAUUCAUUGCUCGUUCUAACC